CGCAGACACCUGUUUGUCGUUAAGCCGUGAUGAUUCUUGAUCGUUGUUGGACGCGCGUGCAUGAACGGAUUGGAUAUCCACGCUUAGUUUUAUUAUAAAAAUCCUGAAUUUGCUAGUUUUAUUUUCUGACCCGUCUGUGACCCAUCAGUUAAGACUCCUUGUUGAACACCGUGAUAAAGUUCCAAGUAGAUUAAAAGUCAAAGAAUUUCCUCCUGAGUGAAAAUCAGUAUAUCCGGUGGAUGUUUGGCGCGACCCAACCAAUUAAGCAGGAGAUUUUGAGCAGAACCCUUUCAGGAUGAUGGUUGAUACAAAAUCCAGAAGACAUUAAAAGUCUGGAUCUGCUAGACAUCAGCAGUGACCUUUUUCAUCUCAAAGUCAGCUGUCAACUACCCAGAGGUCACAGUCUGCAAUCUGAGUGCUGACCGUCACUUCUCUGGUCCAAGGCUUUGGGUUGCACAGACAUUUCCGUCUCCCACCUUCUGCUCCAAACCCCUAGAAACAACCAUAUGGGGUCUUGACUCUGGGCCCGUGACUCAUGAUUCGCCAAGCAACAGAUGGACGCCUCCUAGAAUAUACAACAACAGCUUCGAACUCACUCUAGUGAACAUAACGUGCCUUAUUCACCCUAAACCUAGAGUCAGAUAUGGUACAGUGCAUGUCUAGAAUUUAGUGCCACCUACACUGCAAAAAAAUUCAGUAUUUGUGACUUGUUUUACAGCACAAUUUUUUUGUCAUCUAAUCAAUGUAUUCAAAUCGUGUUUAUGCUAUAUACUAUACU